rnacentral:tRNA from 3 species
GUUGAUGUUUCGUUUGAUGAACGGACCGGUCUCGAAAACCGGAGUAGGGGCAACUCUACCGGGGGUUCAAAUCCCCCUCUCUCCGCCA